rnacentral:tRNA from 1 species
GGGGGGAUACUUUAAAUAGAAGGUAUAGUUUGCAACUAUAAUGAGAAAAGUUGUUUCUCCUUU